GACGGAAGGUGCAAGCGUUGCUCGGAAUCACUGGGCGUAAAGGGUGCGUAGGCGGCUUGGUAAGUUGGGUGUGAAAGCCCCGGGCUCAGCCCGGGAAGGGCACUCGAAACUGCCGAGCUGGAGUGCCGGAGGGGAGAGUGGAAUUCCUGGUGUAGCGGUGAAAUGCGUAGAUAUCAGGAGGAAUACCGGUGGCGAAGGCAGGUCUCUGGGCCGAUACUGACGCUGAGGAGCGAAAGCGUGGGUAGCAAACAGG
rnacentral:rRNA from 1 species